GCCCCGAGCGGGAGCAGUUACCUGCGCGGCGGGGAACAUCCCCUGUCCAGAGAAAGGGCCGGGAGCGCGGGCACCACCGUGAGGAACAGCCCGCUCCCCAGAAAACGGGUCAGCAGGCGAUGUGAGGGCAGACGACCAUGUGAUGGAUUAAACAAGUCUUUAAUUAAUGGAAGAUAUGGCAUAUCACGCAAUUUCGUCAUGAGCUUUGCGACACUUUCUGAGAACACUGGGCAGAGCAAUAUUGCAGAGAACUGGUAACCAAGCCUCCCCUACUCUGCGACAAGCUAAACUUCAAUUCUGCAAUAGUCUGGCACAGCAAACUGGCAGUUUUACAAUAACACCAUUUAAGUUAAAAAGAUUAAAGAUUUAGGGUGGGAUUGUCCCACAAAAAGUGAAAAACUGAAAAUCAGAGGGAACUGAGGUCCAGAUCCUCUGAAAGAUCUGGGCCCAAGUACUUAACUUCCUUGGGCAGUUUUGAAAAAUCUCACCCUUAAUCUUCAAUAAAGAUUUAAAACUUCAAUUUAAGUAUACAUGUAUUAAAUCCAAAAAUGAAUACAAAUAUAUUAAGUCAGUAUAGUGGCCUAAUGUGUUAUUUUGCUACUAAAUUCAGCUUAUUUUGUGCUGUCCCCUCCACACUUUCAGUUUUCAUUUUGCCAUAAUCUUUUGUUUGGUAACACAUAACGGUGCAAAUAAAUCUCAGUUGGCUAUUACAACCAUUUGGGAGGAGACUUUUGGCACCCCGGGAGGGAUCAGAGGCAAUUAAGUUGUGUGGGAUAAACAGAUUUGUUGGAUAUUUUACUGCUGAUCAGCAGUGAUAUUUAACAAGGUUGAACAUUUUCAAAAUUUUCUUUAGGUUUCGAAGUUGAUCCAUUGAGAUAUAUAGGGCAGUUUAAGCCUCUUAGAACUACAGUUACAGAAUGUUCGUAAACUCAAGAAGACACCACUACAUUAGUUUGUACUCUGAACACUUUCAGCAAUAUCUUCUAUGAGGGCUAGAAAUAUUUUUAAGUAAAAUUUUAAAUUGGGAAACCCAGUGCAAAGGCAAGGGGUAGAUUCCACAGCCACAAAAAUCACUGUGUAUGUACGGACCAAGGAGAGAGAACACUCGGAGACACAUUCAAUUUUUUCUAUAAUUUACACAACAAUGCUGUCAUCAUAACCAAGGAGAGAUGUGCAACAUAAUCUGCCAAAUAAAUGUAUAUAAAUGCAGCUGCAGACAUUUUCUAAAAUCUUAUAUAUUCAGAGAGUGUGUACACACUGAUAGUACUGUCGCAGUGACUGAACUGAGAAUUCAAAUGUGGAGGGCUAAAACCCUUACAUGGUCAAUCUCUCCUAUGCAAAAUAUAUAUUUGUAAUUGAUACCAUCAGGUGUCUUCCAAAAGCAAAUAUUUGCUCUUCUGACAUAUCUUUAUCAUCCAGAGAUUUGUGUCUUCAUUGGCAGUGAGUGAUGUUUUAGCAGUAGCCAGAGAAGGCUGGGCAAUCCCCCUUCUAAUUCCCCACAUUCACUUUGUAUAGCAAAGUUGGGGUUUUUUUCGUGAAAGGAGAUAAUGUGUGUACACAGGAUAUGUGAUCCAUAGAAGGCUUGAUUUCUAGAAAGCAGGCAAACUUUCAUUUAGGUAUCCAUCCCAUGCAGAAGAAGGGACAAGAAAGUAUGUAGUGAGGAGAGAGGGAAUGAUCCUACAACAACUCACUCAGAGUCCACUACAGAAAUAUGAACAUGGGCAGGAAAUAAGACAACAAAAUAGCCAUAAUUAAUAAUAAGAAAGCAGGUAGAAACUAAAGAAACGGCACUAAUAUACUACAGUAACCAGAGUAGACAACUAGCAAUAUUAAUACUAUUACUCGAAAUAGUCUAUUUUCCCCAAUGUCUGCAAAGGAACAAUAAACAAAUACAGAACUUAAAAAAAAAUUAUCCUAGAAGUUGCCUCUUUCUAGCUUUUUGGCCCCUUCCUUUCCUCUCCCUUCCCAUCUCUCACUCAUUCUCUGCCUUCUCACCAUUUUUUCUCAUUCACAUUUCUAUACAGUGUAUUCUCUUAUAUUUAUUAGUCCUUCAGGAUUUCACCUUCUGUAGGACUCUCCCUCCCCACCACCAUCUGUCAACUGUCUUCUUCCCUUGACCCCCUUGGAUUUCCACACUUAGGAUUUCCUUCUUUGCCACCUUUGUUCCUCUCCUUGUCCCCCAGGAUUUUCCCUCCACUCUCCACCCUGGGAUUCUCCCCUCCCCUCCAUCCUCUCUUUCCCUCACUCCCAUGGGAUUCUCUCCACCAUCCCCUCUACUACUUUCCUGGAAUUUUCUUCUCCCCUUUUGUCACUCCUUACAAGGCCCCAAGAGGCAGGACUACAGUGAUAGAAGAAGAGAGACGGAAAGAGGCUGGGGACCCUCCAAGGCAAGGGGUAUUUCUCUGUCUUACUCCUCACACCUUACUCUCCUUCACUGCAGGGCUAGCAAUGCGAGGAAGAAGAGACUAAUGCUGACAGGCCAGUGGGGGUUGCCAUAAUGCUCCUCUGCACUUUGCUGUGGUGCUGGAAGUGGCUUGAAAAACAGCUUUUUUACCUCCUCCCAGAUGCUGGAUAAAUGCGGGGGGGGGGGGGGGGGGCAACAGGACCACAGAGAUAAAUGCAGAGCUGUCCUACAAGACUGUUAGAUCAUAGAAUUGUCCCACAAGGGAAAUAACAUAAGAAUGGCCCUACUGGGUCAGACCAAAGAUCCAUCU